UCCGAGUUGACCCCGGCAGUCUCCCAUGAGUCCCCACCAUCACGUGCUGGCAACUAAGGGCGAGGGUUGCGCUCGUUGCGGGACUUAACCCAACAUCUCACGACACGAGCUGACGACAACCAUGCACCACCUGUAUAGAGACCUUGCGGGGCGACUGUUUCCAGACGUUUCCUCUACAUGUCAAGCCUUGGUAAGGUUCUUCGCGUUGCAUCGAAUUAAUCCGCAUGCUCCGCCGCUUGUGCGGGCCCCCGUCAAUUCCUUUGAGUUUUAGCCUUGCGGCCGUACUCCCCAGGCGGGGAACUUACUGCGUUAGCGACGGCACCGGGAGGGUCGCUCCCCCCGACGCCUAGUGCCCAUCGUUUACGGCGUGGACUAC
rnacentral:misc_RNA from 1 species